rnacentral:lncRNA from 1 species
UUAUAUAAUGGGGGUAGAUAGGAUUAGGAACUCUAAGGAGUUCACUGGGUAGUUCUAGAAAUAUAUUGAGAAACAAUUCAUUGCAGUCUCGUUCUCGUGCAAGCGAUACAUUUGCUUAGCAUCCCCAAACAGCCAAACCACCACACAAAUGGAUGAAGUACUCCUACAUCAACAUGAUGUCGGUCUAGGUUUUUAUGAUGCCAUGUCUACUUGAAAAUCAAUAUAUUUUAUUUUGGAUUCUAGCGUACUUGCAAGAUGCAUAGCAUAGAGUCUCAAUUUGAAAAGAGAUGCCCAUAUUGUUUGUUUUGCCCAAAGUCAAAAACGCAAAAUCUUGUUGAAGUGUCAUGAAAGUUUUUUUUCUUAAAAACAUUUAUGUAAAAAUUAUUUAGAUUUGUCUAUGUUUCACAAACUUGUUAAUUUUAUCAAAAUUUUAUAAGUUCGUACUUCUAAGUUAAGCCGUUUCAAUGUUUCAACACUUUAUUUGCUUAAUGUUAACAUGAUC